AUGAACUCUAUUCAAAUAUGAUCACUCGCUGAACUUAAGCAUAUCAGUAAGCGAAGGAAAAGAAACCAACAGGGAUUA
rnacentral:rRNA from 1 species